rnacentral:rRNA from 1 species
UACGUAGGGCGCAAGCGUUGUCCGGAAUUAUUGGGCGUAAAGCGCGCGCAGGCGGUCCUUUAAGUCUGAUGUGAAAGCCCACGGCUCAACCGUGGAGGGUCAUUGGAAACUGGGGGACUUGAGUGCAGGAGAGAAGAGUGGAAUUCCACGUGUAGCGGUGAAAUGCGUAGAUAUCAGGAGGAACACCCGUGGCGAAGGCGGCUCACUGGGCCGGUCCUGACGCUGACGACGCGAAGGCGUGGGGAGCG